GUCCUGAGGGCCUUGGUCUGCCCGCUGCUUCACCUCCUUGAAUGUGUACUCCUGCAGGAGGGUGCCAUCCUCAAAGAUGGGUACCAGCAGAUCCUGGGGGGACAUGCCAUGGGCUAGGGUGGGACAUGCCAUGGGCUAGGGUAAUCGACAUUGUGCAGGAGAGAGAUGGAUGGGUGGAUGGUGUCAACUUAGACCUGAAGAAAGCAUUUGACAAAGUACCACACCGAAGAUUGCUAAGGAAAAUAAAAAAUUAUGGAAAAAUUGGAGGAAGACUGCUGGAGUGGAUGGAGGAUUAUCUGGAUGAUAGAGAUGAGAACAGUAAUACAAGACCAGAAUUCAUCUUGGCUGAAAGUAACUAGUGAUGUUCCACAGGGGUCAGUGUUGGGACCGUUAAUGUUUGUAAUAUAUGUGAAUGACAUAAAUAAAGAAAUAAACAGUUACAUGAACUUAUUUGCAGAUGAUGCUAAGCUGAUGAGAAGGGUAGAAAAUAUAAAUGACUGUAUGGUACUGCAAGAUGAUUUAAAUAAGAUAAAUAGAUGGAGUAAAUCUUGGCAAAUGUUAUUCAGUUUAAGUAAAUGUAAAGUAAUGGAGUUUGGUAAGAGUAAGAAAAGAAUACAGUAUCAUUAUGAGAUGGAUGGUGUGAAGUUACAGAAAUCAAAAAAAGUAACAGUUACUGAAAACUUGACUUCGGACAGACACAUUGCUAAAAUUACUGGAGAGACGAUGAAUUUGUUAAAAGAAUAAGAAUGACAUUCUUAUAUGUAGAUGAAGGAAUGAUAAAAAGUUGUUGAUUUCCAUGAUAAGACCACGACUGGAAUAUGUAGCAGUGAUGUGGUCUCCUUAUGUAAAGAGGAAUAUUAUAAAAUUUGAAAGAGUACAGAGCAGUCACUAAGAUGAAUUCAGAGUUGAGUAAGUUGACUUAUGGAGAGAUUAAGAAUGUUGGAAAUUCCUACCCUUGAAAAUAGGAGAGAGAGAGAGGAGAUUUAAUAAACAUUUUAUAGAAAGAUAAAUGGUAUGGAAAAUGUGGACAAAGAAUGUUUUAUAAACUUGGACAUGCAGAGUACAAGGGGAUACAGUAAGAAGUUGAAGAAAGUUAACUGUAGAAGAGUCAUCAAAAAGUAUAAUAGUUUUCUUCACAGAAGUGUGAACAAAUGAAAUGAACUAAGUGAAAAUGUUGUCAAUGCCAUAACUGACCAUGCUUUUAAGACCAAACUGGAUAGGUAUAGAGAGUACACACACACACACACACACACACACACACACACACACAUUGCUAAAGGAAAGGGAGGUGUAAUGAUAAUGGCAAGAAAAGAGGCACAGACAAAAAUAGUGAAAUAUGGAGAAGGAAAUGCAGAAAUAGUGAGUGUUAACUUGGAGGAUAAUAAUGGAGAAAUACUAAUGGUAAUAACAACCUAUGUACUACCCCAAACAAAUUCUUGGAGCAAGGAAGAAUACAAGAAAAUAAUGGAAGAUACCAUUCAGUGUUUGAGUGAAUUAAUCAAAAGUAUUAAAAGAGUAUUAUUAGUUGGUGACUUCAAUUCCAAAGAAGUAAAUUGGAAAAUUUUGGAGAAAGAAGAAAUGAGACUGUAUGGGAAGAAAGAUUUCUGAAGCUGACUAUGGAAAACUCAAUGAUGCACUGGGUGACUAAAAAUACAAGAUAUUCAGGAGAUGAUGAACCAGCAAGACUAGACCUAAUACUAAGAAAGGGUAUGGACCUAACUAAAGAAUUAAGAUAAGUGUGCCCCAUUGGAAAAAGUGACCAUGUAAUGACAGAAAUAGAGACUGAUAAUGAUGUCAGUGAAGAGGAUGAAUCAUACAAAGAAAAGAGAAAAACUAUGGAAAACCAAAUAAAGAUGACCUUAAGAAAUUUUAUGAAGAAAUGGACUACAAAAAGCUGAAAAGAGCAAAUGAUGUGCAAGAUAAGUUUGACAUUUUUAUGGAAAUAAAUGUCCCAUUAUAAAAACCUAAAGAAAAAGGAAAAUAGGUGUGGUUCAAUGCAAGAUGUGCAAGUGCAAAAAAAAAUUGCACAAAAGAAAAAACAAAGAAUGGGUAAGAAUAAAAAGAAAUCAAAACCAUAAAAAUAAAGAAGAAAUAAAUAUGUGAAAGUAAGGAGAGAGGAAGAGAAACAAUAUGAAAA